rnacentral:lncRNA from 1 species
AAUGGCAAACCACUCCAGAAUCUUUGCCAAGAAAAUUCCAAAUGGGGUCAGACAUACAUAACUGAAAAUAACGGAACAACAACAGUCCACCCCCACUGCCAAUGCUAGAAUCUUAUACUCUAUGCAGCCAAAAGUGAUAGAGUAUAUUCUUAAAUCAGAAACUCUCUGGGUGACCUCCCUCAUAAGCAGAAUGCCAUUUGUGGUCAGGAAAACUUCAUGGAGAAAGAGAUCUUGAACCAGACUAACUGAACUAGACUCACUCAUCUGUCGCUGAGAUUACAAAAUGCAGCCUAUGAUACAAGGAUUCCACCAGGACAGUAGAUCUGACAGAAGAAGGCAGUCUGUUUUCAUUUCAUUAAAUUCUGCAUUGGAGAAUGGACUAGGCAACCAGCUGUUAAUAUGCAAAGACCAGAUUCAGGGCUUCUUCCUUUCUGCUUCUUGAGCCGCUCCUUUGGAAUUGGUGAUUCAGAAAGGCUGGGUGAACUUGGUACCAUGUUCUCCCUCGAAAAUGGAAGACAGGAUACACUCAUCAGGAAAAGGUAAAGUAGUACCCAGGCUCUAGUCUUUCUUCCUAUAGGAGAUUCAUCCUGGAAUACCCAUCCUAUAUCACUCUUUUGCUCUUAGAAAGCACAUGCCCC